CAGCAGACACAUUCCAGCCAAUCAGCAGCAGACCCUCCCUCCCAGAUCCUCCCACCUCCUGGACAGCUCACUAAGAAUGCAGCUUCACAUUGAAUGUAAAAUGGAUGCUGUCCAGGAGGUGGGAGGGUCUGGGAGGGAGGGUCUGCUGCUGAUUGGCUGGAAUGUGUCUUCUG